rnacentral:rRNA from 1 species
CCUACGGGUGGCUGCAGUGGGGAAUAUUGGACAAUGGGCGAAAGCCUGAUCCAGCCAUGCCGCGUGUGUGAAGAAGGCCUUCGGGUUGUAAAGCACUUUCAGUGGGGAAGAAAGCCUUGGGGCUAAUACCCUCGAGGAAGGACAUCACCCACAGAAGAAGUACCGGCUAACUCCGUGCCAGCAGCCGCGGUAAUACGGAGGGUGCGAGCGUUAAUCGGAAUUACUGGGCGUAAAGCGCGCGUAGGCGGUCUGAUAAGCCGGUUGUGAAAGUCCCGGGCUCAACCUGGGAACGGCAUCCGGAACUGUCAGGCUAGAGUGCAGGAGAGGAAGGUAGAAUUCCCGGUGUAGCGGUGAAAUGCGUAGAGAUCGGGAGGAAUACCAGUGGCGAAGGCGGCCUUCUGGACUGACACUGACGCUGAGGUGCGAAAGCGUGGGUAGCAAACAGGAUUAGAUACCCCAGUAGUC